GAUGAACGCUAGCUACAGGCUUAACACAUGCAAGUCGAGGGGUAACGAGAGGAAAGCUUGCUUUCCUUGUCGACGACCGGCGCACGGGUGAGUAACGCGUAUCCAACCUGCCUAUAACUAGGGAAUAACCUUGCGAAAGUAAGACUAAUACCCUAUGAUUUCCUUUGAUGACAUCAGAUUAGGAAUAAAGAUUUAUCGGUUAUAGAUGGGGAUGCGUCUGAUUAGCUUGUUGGCGGGGUAACGGCCCACCAAGGCAACGAUCAGUAGGGGUUCUGAGAGGAAGGUCCCCCACAUUGGAACUGAGACACGGUCCAAACUCCUACGGGAGGCAGCAGUGAGGAAUAUUGGUCAAUGGGCGGAAGCCUGAACCAGCCAAGUAGCGUGCAGGAUGACGGCCCUAUGGGUUGUAAACUGCUUUUAUACAGGAAUAAAGUUAGCCACGUGUGGUUAUUUGUAGGUACUGUAUGAAUAAGGACCGGCUAAUUCCGUGCCAGCAGCCGCCGUAA
rnacentral:rRNA from 1 species